rnacentral:rRNA from 1 species
AGAGUUUGAUCCUGGCUCAGAACGAACGCUGGCGGCAGGCUUAACACAUGCAAGUCGAGCGCACUCUUCGGAGUGAGCGGCGGACGGGUUAGUAACGCGUGGGAACGUGCCCUUCUCUAAGGAAUAGCCUCGGGAAACUGAGAGUAAUACCUUAUACGCCCUUCGGGGGAAAGAUUUAUCGGAGAAGGAUCGGCCCGCGUUAGAUUAGAUAGUUGGUGGGGUAAUGGCCUACCAAGUCUACGAUCUAUAGCUGGUUUUAGAGGAUGAUCAGCAACACUGGGACUGAGACACGGCCCAGACUCCUACGGGAGGCAGCAGUGGGGAAUCUUGGACAAUGGGCGCAAGCCUGAUCCAGCCAUGCCGCGUGAGUGAUGAAGGCCUUAGGGUCGUAAAGCUCUUUCGCCAGAGAUGAUAAUGACAGUAUCUGGUAAAGAAACCCCGCUAAC